rnacentral:lncRNA from 1 species
GACAUUUCUAGGCAAGUCCACCGGCCCUAAGAAGAGGAUGAGAGGCAUGUGAAGAAGAGUCCACCUUGGAUACAUAGAGAGGUUAUGAAGCCUUCCUGAAUGCUCAUUCAAGGUAAGGAAUUGGCUAACCCCAAAGAACACAUUGAAAAGAAAAAAUGAUGAUAGGAUUAAAUUAAAUAUGUUUUAUUACAUUGCAUCAGUUUAGAUGUUCAAUAUAUUCUUUUUUAAUAAAGAAAAGUUUAUUUGGCUAAUGAUUUUCAG